UGUAAGGGUUUUGACUUUUUUGCUUGCAAUGUUUGAUUAUUCGUCUUAUUCAAAAAAUUAUGGAAAUAUCAUUUAUUUUGUUUGUGAUUUGCUUUAUCAUCAAAAGUACUUUAAGCACAAUUUAUUACUUUUUAUAUUUACACAAAAUUUUUAAAUAAGACGAAUGGUCAAACGUUGCAAGAAAAAAGUCAAAACCCUUACA
rnacentral:pre_miRNA from 1 species